rnacentral:rRNA from 1 species
GACGAACGCUGGCGGCGUGCCUAACACAUGCAAGUCGAGCGGGGUAGCCGGAAGGUGUAGCGAUACAGCGGAGGGGUACCUAGCGGCGAACGGGUGAGUAACGCGUGGGCAAUCUGCCCCCGGGGGCGGGAUAACAGACCGAAAGGCCUGCUAAUACCGCAUGAAGCCGUCCUAUCGCAUGAUAAGACGGUAAAAGGGGAAACCCGCCUGGGGAGGAGCCCGCGUCCCAUUAGCUAGUUGGUGGUGUAAAGGACCACCAAGGCGAUGAUGGGUAGCCGGCCUGAGAGGGUGACCGGCCACACUGGGACUGAGACACGGCCCAGACUCCUACGGGGGGGCAGCAGUGGGGGAUCUUGCACAAUGGGCGAAAGCCUGAUGCAGCGACGCCGCGUGAGCGAAGAAGGCCUUCGGUUGUAAAGCUCUGUCUGGAGGGACGAACAAAAUGACGGUACCUCCGGAGGAAGCCACGGCUAACUACGUGCCAGCAGCCGCGGUAAACGUAGCGUG